rfam:Synergistes sp. 3_1_syn1 genomic scaffold supercont1.5, whole genome shotgun sequence.
GCCUGCAUACGUCCCUGAAACUGCCUCUCCUGCGGCCUGGCGGCUAUGGAAGGCGGUCGUUAGGGCGGUCCUGGAAACGGGGCCGUCUCCCGUUGCGGAAAGGGGAUCGCGGAAGUUUGCC